rnacentral:rRNA from 1 species
UACUAGAGUAGCACUCGCAUAUCAAUAAGCGGAGGAAAAGAAACUAACAAGGAUUCCCCUAGUAACGGCGAGUGGAGCGGGAAGAGCUCAAAUUUGAAAUCUUAAAGGGUUUCCCUUUACGAAUUGUAGUUUAAAGAAGUGUUUUCUGUUGAGGUUUUGGUAAAAGUUCUUUGGAAUAGGACAUCAUAGAGGGUGAGAAUCCCGUAUUUGACCUUUACUUUCAACUUUGUGAUACACUUUCAAAGAGUCGGAUUGUUUGGGAAUGCAGUCCAAAAUGGGUGGUAAAUUUCAUCUAAAGCUAAAUAUUGGCGAGAGACCGAUAGCGAACAAGUACCGUGAGGGAAAGAUGAAAAGAACUUUGAAAAGAGAGUUAAACAGUACGUGAAAUUGUCAAAAGGGAAGCGUUUGACACCAGUGUUGUUUUUCUGAAAAUCAAUUAAAGAACUGUUUAUGCUAAGCUGUUUAGACUUUAUCAGCUAUCUGUUUAGUUUUGAGCUUUUCUUUAAUGCACUUUUCAGUUAACAAGUCAACAUCAAUUUCUUUUGCUGUAAAAAAGCUUGAGGAAGGUGGCUUGAGAUUCGUCUUAAGUGUUUAUAGCCUCUUGCCUAUGCAGUCGGAGAGAUUGAGGUCUGCAGCGUAGAUCCUUCGGGGCUAAAUGCAUUUGUGCUAAGUUAUAGCAUUUUAUAGACAACUUGUUGACUAUGAUUUGUCUUGUAGCUUACUCGCUUAUGUUAUUUUACCUACGCUUAGGAUGUUGAUCUCUCACAGUCGAGC